UCGUUGGAGGCAAAGAUCUAGAAACGUUUACAUCUCUUGAAUUUAAGAAGUUCCGUGACUGGUGUGAGAAAGUGACGUUACCUGGUUCGCCAUUCACUGUGGCAUUGUACUUGGUGUCGAUAAGUGAUAGCUGUUGCAGUAAGUCAAAGUUAAACAUGGUUUUCUACUCUAUUAAUUGGUCAUACGUUCUGUCAAAUGUACAAAAUCCUUGUAACGAUGAUUGUUUGGAACUGUUUAAAUGACUAUAAAAGAAUAACUGCCAGACCGGUGGUAAAGAAUUCCAAUAUUAUGAAACAGUUUAUUGAACAUUUCUGAGAGCAGUUCCCUAUCUGAUUUAAGAUCAGAUUGUUUAUUUAUUUAUAUAUAUUUUGUUUUCAUUUGCCGGAAUUUUAAGAAUUAAUGAAUCACUAAGGAUUUCAAGAUUUCAGAAUUUCAUCGUUAGAUAUAGUUAUUGAAAGUCAGACACUGUUGUUCUUAGGGACGGAUGUCGCUAUCUUAGAAAGAUAUAUACGAAAACCACUUAUAUCAUUUUCUUCAGAAUAUAUUUUGCGUUCAGACAUUUUCAAGAAAAAGCUUAAUAAACGCAUGUUUUGCUAAGUGAUUCAGACAGCCGCUUUCUUAUUCUUCUGUUCAUCUUGGUUUAAAACAAAAACUUCAGUUAGAUGUUUGGACUUCAUUCUUUUCGGUCGGGGGCUGAUACUAUGGUUGCUAACAUAAGUACUUGUGAGAGGUUGUGGCAGAGGCAUGGCAGGUGGAAAUGUGUCAUCAAGAGAUGGCUAUGUGAAAGACUCUUUAAAAGAUCGUCUUUUUGUCUCUCAUAAUUAAGAAUUUUAAACAUAUCAGGUUGAAUUUAUUGCAUGCAUUUUAUUUUUCUAUAUGUUACACUCUUAAAAGGUGCUUGAGACUAAUAACUUGAGGUUAAAUAAAUAUGGUAAUGUCACAAUGGGUUUUAUUUACAUCGGAAUACUGUACUUAGUGUUUUGCAUGUAACAGAAUUAUCUAUAUUGUUUAACUUACAGUUGCUGGUAGCGGAAUGCUGCAAUGUAUGCAUAACAAGCAGCUGAAUGCUGUGUUAUGUGCUCUUCUUACAGUGGUAUGCUACGUUAGGUUAUUUUCAAGAAGCGUAAUGCUGCAUAAGGUUAUCUGCAAGCCGUGGAAGACUGCGUUAUGUGCUCUUCUUACAGUGAAAUGCUGUGUUAUGUGCUCUUCUUACAGUGGUAUGCUGCCUAAGGUUAUUUUCAGAUGCGGAAUGCUGUUUGCAGCGGAAUGCCGCGUUAGGUUAUGUGCAAGCAGCAGAAUGCUGUGUUUUGUGCUUUUCUUGCAGUGGAAUACUGCGUUAGGUUAUCUUCAGGCAGCAGAUUGCUGUGUUAUGUGUUCUUCUUGCAGUGGAAUGCUGCGUUAUGUGCUGUUCUUGCAGUGGAAUGCUGCGUUAUGUUAUCUGCAAGCAGCGGAUUACUGCGUUAUGUGCUGUUUUUGCAGUGGAAUGCUGUAUUUGUUUAUCUGCAAGUAUCGGUAUGCUGUGUUAUAUGUUCCUCUUGCAGUAGAAUACUCUGUUAGGCUAUUUUCAAGCAGUGGAAUGCUACGUUAUGUGUUCUUCUUGCAGUGGAAUGCUGCGUUAUGUUAUUUUCAAGCAUUGGAAUGUUGCGUUAUGUGUUCCUCUUGCAGUCGAAUGCUGCGUUAUGUUAUUUUCAAGCAGCGGAAUGCUGCGUCAUGUUAUUUUCAAGUAAUGGAAUGCUGCGUUAUGUGUUCUUCUUGCAGUGGAAUACUCUGUUAGGUUAUUUUCAAGCAGUGGAAUGCUGCGUUAUGUGUUCUUCUUGCAGGAAUGCUGCGUUAGGUUAUUUUAAGAAGUGGAAUGCUGAUUUAUGUGCUCCUUUUGCAGUGGAAUACUGCGUUAGGUUAUUUUCAAGUAGUGGAAUGCUGCGCUAUGUGUUCUUCUUGCAGUGGAAUGCUGUUUUAGGUUAUUUUCAAGCAGCGGAAUGCUGCGUUAUGUGUUCUUUUUGCAGUGGAAUGCUGUGUUAGGUUAUUUUCAAGCAUUGGAAUGCUGCGUUAAGUAUUCUUCUUGCAUUGAAAUGAUGUGUUAUGUUAUUUUCAAGCAGCGGAAUGCUGCGUUAUGUUAUUUUCAAGCAGUGGAAUGCUGCGUUAUGUUAUUUUCAAGCAGAGGAAUGCUGCGUUAUGUUAUUUUCAAGCAGAGGAAUGCUGCGUUAUGUGUUUUUCUUGUAGCGGAAUGCUGCGUUAGAUUAUUUGCAAGCAGUGGAAUGCUGCUUUAUGUGCUUCUCCUGCAGUGGGAUGCUGCGUUAGGUGCUCUUCUUGCAGUGGAAUUUUAAGAAGUGGUAUACUGAUUUUUGUGCUCUUCCUGCAGUGGAAUGCUGCGUUAUGUUAUCUGCAAGCAGCGGAAUGCUGUGAUAUGUUAUCUUCAAGCAGUGGAAUGCUGCGUUAUGUGUUAUUAAUGCGGCGUUAUGUUCUUUGCAUGCAGGGGAAUGCUGCGUUAUAUGUUUUCUUGCAAUGGAAGGCUGCGUUAUGUUAUCUGCAAGCAGUGGAAUGCUGCUUUAUGUUUUUUGUAAGCAGCGGAAUGCUGCGUAAUGUUGCUUUUUUGUGCUCUGCAAGCAGCGGAAUGCUGCAUUAAGUAAUCUGCAAGCAGCGGAAUGCUGCGUUAUGUGCUCUGCAAGCAGCGGAAUGCUGCAUUGAGUAAUCUGCAAGCAGCGGAAUGCUGCGUUAUGUGCUCUGCAAGCAGCGGAAUGCUGCAUGAUGUUUUCUGCAAGCAAUGUAUUCCUGCUGAUAUGGGUUUGAGACGAUUGGGCUUUGGUGAUCUGAUGGUCUUUCAUAGAAGUGGGAUAUUGAUGAACAAGGUAACCACGGUAAUUAAGUAUCGUUACUAAGUAUUUCUUUGUUUUCCGUUUACUGCGUCAAUAAUUUUGGUACAGAAGACUGAUUAGCAUUUUCUCUCUUUGUUAUCUCGAUAUGCUGCCAAUUGUAUACCUUAUUCCUACUUUUAUUGUUUCUUUUUUGUCUUGUUGAAGGUAAUUGAGAUUAGAGAAUAAUUGAUUUACUCACAGCUUUAGCGUGAGUAAAUAAAAUUAUUCGCGUUUCGAAAUUACUUUUCUUGGUAAUUUAUCCCAGUACUAGUUUGGUCUGAAGUUUAUGCUAGUAUAUUUGGGCGCUCUUUGUCACGUGAAUUUCGUGAAAUAUUUCGGCGUAUAUAAGUGUGAACUGGUAUUGUUCUCACCACUCGAGGUUUAUGAUUGGCAGCAAACAGUCUGUACCCGCCCUCCCUCCCA
rnacentral:lncRNA from 1 species